UACGUAGGGGGCAAGCGUUGUCCGGAAUUAUUGGGCGUAAAGAGCGUGUAGGCGGUCCGGUAAGUCAGCUGUGAAAGUCAGGGGCUCAACCCUGAAUGCCGGUUGAUACUGUCGGGCUAGAGUGCGGGAGAGGCGAGUGGAAUUCCUGGUGUAGCGGUGAAAUGCGCAGAUAUCAGGAAGAACACCCGUGGCUAAGGCGGCUCUCUAGUACGGUACUGACGCUGAGACGCGAAAGCGUGGGGAGCGAACAGG
rnacentral:rRNA from 1 species